UUUUUGUAGGCACCCCUGAAGUAGUCCCAUCCACCGCAUCUGUAUCAGUUCAGAAUGUAUAUCCUUCUCAGACCGUAAUCUGGCCAGGGAGCGGACUGUUUGAAGCAGGUGACGAAGCAAUACUAGACAGCGUUUUGGAUUACGAGAACGAGAGUGGGCUUCUAUCUCUAUCUGAAAUUCAUGCAACAGACAGGCCCGAGACACCUCCGACUAACGAGUGCAGACCAGAACCCGCUCACAAGGUGGACAAGACUACUUGUACCAGCGAAGACGGUGUCUACCCGCUACUCGUCAUACCCGACACGCCAGAAAAGCAAGUCAGACAACCGGCUAACACUAAAGAAGCUGACACUGACGGAGGACCAUCUGGAUCCGAAAUUAGCAUACCAGAAGCACCAGGGAAAGCCGUGACUGACGACUCCAGGCCAUACCCCAAACUGAAGCAUUCCACUAGAAGAAGCGGCAGGAGGAAUACGAGGAGAUCAGCUUCAGGACGUCGGGGUCUAUCGAGAGGGAAGGUUGUGAAAACUUUUUGGAAAAUACUGACUUCUGUUUGUGAAUUGACUUCAGCGUUGACUAGGUAGAGUCGUGUGUGUUGUAAUGAUGAAUGAUCAAGGGGAAAAUUCGGUCUCGCAGUCAGCUCUGUUAUCUUUACAGUCUUCGGUCUCGCAGUCAGCUCUGUUAUCUUUACAGUCUAUGGUUGAAGUGUUAAGCGAUAUCCCUCACCCGCAAACUUUACCUCCACUGGUUGAAAUACAACAACAAUUAGAGAUUUCAAACGAGCCUCAGGCUCGCCACGAACCUUCGGAUUUACAGAAUUUGGAAAGUAUCGAUGUAGCCCUUCAGCGUUUAAGAGAAGCUCCGUCCAGUCCUCCAUCCCCCGAGCUUUUACCUCCGCCGCUUGAAUUACAGCCUUUAGAGAUUUCAAACGAGCCUCAGGCUCGCCACGAACCUUCUGAUUUUCAAAAUUUGGAAAGUAUCGAUGUAGCCCUUCAACGUUUAAGAGAAGCUUUGUCCAGUCCUCCACUCCCGGAGCUCUUACCUCCUCCCUCCCAACCCCGCGUCGUUUGUCCGUCUAAUGUACCAUUACCUCGGCCGACGCAGGUUCCCUCUGUUCGUCCAACCGAAGAUUCCGUGCCUGGUCCGUCUAACCUUUUACCCGUAAACGAUCCGUUACCCGGUCCGUCCUCGUACUUCCCACCUACAACACCAGCCGCUCAGAGGGGUGCGGGUCAAAAUCCUGAAUCCCCCGGGAGGGUCUCCAGAGAUAGGUUUAAUAACAUUGAAAUAAGACAGAUGCUAAAUUUCAACUUUCCCAAUCCUGUGAGUAAUUACGCAGAGUUUUAUCUUAAUGUGAUGGAGACUCUCCAAGCAGCGGUUGAACGGGCUGUAUCCUAUGCCAGACAGGGGGAUGUGCUGCAACUAGAAUUA